CUAGGAUUAGAUACCCUAUUAUUUAAAAUGUAAAAACUAAAGUAUUAAUAGAUAUGAUCUUUAAACUUAAAAAAUUUGGCGGUAUUUUAGUCUAUUCAGAGGAACCUGUUUUAUAAUCGAUAAUCCACGUUGGACCUUACUUUAAUUUAUAAAUUAGUUUAUAUACCGUCGUUAUAAAAAAUUUUAUAAGAAUAAUAAUUUUUAAAAUUUUAUAUCAGAUCAAGGUGUAGCUUAUAUUAAAGAAAAUAAUGGGUUACAAUAAAAUUAUUUAUAUGAAUAUAAAAAUGAAAAAUUUAUUGAAAGAGGAUUUGAAAGUAAAAUUAAAUAGAUUUUUAAUUUGAUUUUAGCUCUAAAAUAUGUACAUAUCGCCCGUCACUCUUAUUAUUAAAAUAAGAUAAG
rnacentral:rRNA from 1 species